rnacentral:rRNA from 1 species
UACAGAGGUCCCAAGCGUUGUUCGGAAUUACUGGGCGUAAAGCGCACGUAGGCGGCGAUUCAAGUCAGAGGUGAAAGCCCGGGGCUCAACUCCGGAACUGCCUUUGAAACUAGAUUGCUAGAAUCUUGGAGAGGCGAGUGGAAUUCCGAGUGUAGAGGUGAAAUUCGUAGAUAUUCGGAAGAAACACCAGUGGCGAAGGCGACUCGCUGGACAAGUAUUGACGCUGAGGUGCGAAAGCGUGGGGAGCAAACAGGG